UUUCUACUCCUCUACUUCUUUCCUAAAAAAAAUAGGAAAGUAAUCAAAAUGUUUUCCCCCUCUGUGGGAAAGUCUCCCUUCACCUUUAGUAAUCAGUGUUCUGUUUAUCAGCUUCCACCAGCAGUGCUUUGAGUCCUUCUGACUGUGAACCAUCAGGGGGACACUUGCAGUGAUAUACGCCAUGGGAAUCUGCUUAAAUGCACACGGAAAAUAUUUAAUUGAGGGCUGGCUUACGAUUCAGAGGUUUGGUCCAUUGUCAUUGUGGGAAGCAUGUCAGCAGGCAGGCAUGGUCCUGGAGAAGGAGCUGAGAGUUCUACAUCGUGAUCUGAAGGCAGCAGGAAGAGGGUGA
rnacentral:lncRNA from 1 species